rnacentral:tRNA from 1 species
GCGGAUGUGGUGAAAUUGGUAGACACGCCAGACUUAGGAUCUGGUGCCGAAAGGUGUGUGGGUUCGAGUCCCCCCCUCCGCA